CGACAGAGAGUCCGAUUGGGGCGGGCUCUCUCGUAAUCAGAGAGAAUACUGCAGCUCACGCUCAGAUUUCCCAUGCUGUUACCGGCUUGGCUCUGCAGCCCCUCUCUCUCUCUCUUUCUCACAUGCACGCUGACAUAAAUGCACACGCAGUGAACACGGAUCUGUAUCUCUGCACUGAGGAGACAACGUCCUUUACUCGUUUUCUCUGUCCUCAGUUUACUGGCUCCUGUUUUUAGGCAGUGCGUCAGAGGCUGUGCCACACAGAUAUGCCCGGUGAGAAUGCACAUCGGAGUGGCCCCACGCAGGGCCUUCUGGACUCUGGAGACCCACAAUCAGAGCUGCCAGGACCAGAUCUGUCUGGUCAAACAUCCAGCUCUUCAGCCUCAACUCCAACAGACAGUGCCUCCAGUCCUUCUCCCAGCAGCCCUCCAAAACUCUCCCCACUAUGUACUCCUUUUGGACCCCGCCUGGUAAUGGCCAAACCAACCACUUCUCCUCGCCCACAGCCUGAGGGUGCAAGUUUUGAAUUAGAAGGGCAUUCUGGAAAUAUCGGCGUACCAACAGGGCGGUUUGGUAGAGGAGCCUGCAGACGAGGUCCUAUGAAAAUGGAACGGAUCAAAGUCCUAAUUGGAUCAGAAAUAGAAAGUGACUUUCAAGAGCCAGAGACCAUGGACUCAAGGGUGGUAAUGGGGCAAGAGGCAUUGCUGAGAAACAUGGAGACACAAAGUGGAGUGCUGCUAAGAAAGCAGAUAGGUCAAGAAACACCUAGUUCAGGACACCAGCCCUCAGAGCCUUCCAUGAAAUGUCAUAUUGGGCUAGAUGAAAACGCAAAACUAGACACUGGUCAGGUGAGUUCUACUGUAGAUCAGGCUAAGAGUUUGACUUCAGUUCCAGAACAAGAGAAAUGCAUAAGUCAGAUACUUGAAUGUCAAAUCCUAGAGUCCAAAGUGAGAGAUGCUGAAUUGACAGACAGCAGUACUCCUUUCCCAGACAAUGAGGGAGAGCCACUGUCUUUAUCUCAGGGUGAAGUGCCUUCCUUGUCAUUUUCCGAGCCUCCCUAUGUUGUUGACCCACAACGUAUUGGUGUCCUUCCAGGACUGGAUCCUGAUCGCUACUAUACAGCCCCUUCCACCCCCAUUAAGAUGGCUUACUGCUCACAUCUCAAGCAACAGUGGCGCCCAGGGAGCCCGAGCCAAAGUCCAGGUUCCCCAACUGAUGAGUCUGAUCUGUGCUCCCCUCCUACCUCUCCCUCUGGUUCCUACAUGACUGCUGAGGGAGGCAGCUGGACUUCAUACACCUCCAGCACCUCCCACUCAUGCUCUCCAAACUUAACAGCUGAGGCAGAGUUGCAAGAAGCUCCUGCUUGCUAUGUGGGGUCCCUCUCAGAGAUCGGCGACGAGCUUGGAGAUGAUCGAACUGGUAACGAGAGGGAUGCUUGUCUGGGUAAACCUGAUUUGCCAGAGUUGCUGGAAGAUGUGGCCUGUGAAGUGGAUAUACUAACAAGGGACACCUGUAGUCCUCAUUGGGUGACAGAACAUGAUUCCACACAAGAGAGCAGGAUCAUCAUGCGAAGAACAGACUGCCAGGAGGACACAGGGGUGUCUGUGGGCUCUCUGAGGCCUAGUGAUUUCCAGAGAGCCCCUGAUGCAACUCAGGCUUUUAGUGAUCCACAUCAAAGUCUUGAAAUGGAUUUCAAUGCCUGUUUCUCAGAGCCAUCGGUGAGCCUGGAUCGCUCCCUAACACCAGACAAUAAUGCAGCUGCAGCACUGGAUACAGAGAGUAAAACCCCUGUCUCUCACUCUCCAGAUACUGUAGACAUAAAAAGUAAUAGCAGUAAUAGUUUAUAUCUCGAGAUAGGUUCCUCUGCUCCUCUGUUCCAUGGCUAUUCUAGAGAGGAUGGGCUUGAGAGUGAUGCAAUGAUUCCUGCUUCUAUGUUGCCAUUCCAUGGAAGCCUGAUAAUCCAGGCAGAUUCUAUGGAUAUAACCCUGUUCCCCACUGAUGAUGAGCAGGGGAAUGAUGUGGAUGCAUAUGCUGCUGGAGAGGAGGAAGCCGAUGUAGAUGAGUAUGAUGAUGAGGAUGAUGAAGAUGAGUGUGAUGAUGAAGAUGUGGAUAAUGACAAGGCAGAGCAACAAGAGGCAGCUUGGAGGGUUGGAAGGGAAGUGGAAGGCCCAAAUAAAGAUGACACUUCUGCAUCUUUCCUAAAUUCCUUUUCAGAGAACACCAUAAACGAUGGUGUAGAUGAGUCCUUUGCUUAUCAGGAUGAAACUGAGGACUCAAUUAAUUCUACGUCUUAUAACGGGGAUGAAGAUGAACAUCUGUACUGCACAGAGAAGCAUGCUGAACUCUCCCAACAGUUCCCUGGGCCUGAUGAACCUGUGCAGUCAGUAAGCCAUGCUAAACCUGAAUUUUCUGGCAGUGAGAGUGAAAUUGAGAUAUCCUCCAGAUCAUCUGAGCUUCCACGUGUAGAACUGCAAGGGAAUCUGGCAGACUGCAGUAUUCAUGGUGAAAGUGUAAUCGCACAACAAAUUUCAGAAACAAAGUUGCUGAAGGGUGAGCUUUCAAAAGAAUCAACUGCAGAGAUCAAAACAACUGAUGAGGAAGGCAAACAGAGUACAGAUCCCUCAACAGUCACGGUAACUUCAGAGAAAGGACAGCAGAUUGCCACAAAUGAUCCAACAUUAUCUGUUGAACAAAACAAAGUAGAACAAAAUAAUAGUUCCAUUGAUUCCUGCGUGGCAGGUGCUACAGCUGCUGACAUCGAGACUAAUGUAGAUGAUAGCCAGGAAUUGGAUCAGAAAAAUGGAAAUAGUAUGGAGUUGGACACAUCAUUGCAGUUAGCAGAAACUGCAACCAAUGACCUAAAUAAAGGAGUCCCCCAACUAACAUACCUGGAUGACUGCAGCCCCACAAACAUUCCAGUUUGUGCCUAUCCUGAACUAUGUGAGGUGCCAGAUAACUUAACAUCAACAGAUGUUUUACCAUUUGAACGUUCCAUGUAUCAAGAUAAUCUGACAGAGAAUCAACCUGGCAAUGAUGAUGUAAACCAUAGCUCUCAAAAUAUGUCCUGCUCCACAUACAGCAGACUUGUCAUUUCACCAAAGAAAGAGAACUCUGAGAGCAGUAUGACAGAAAGGGAACUUUACCCUGACAGUUGGACACCAAGGGAUCCCUUGUCUUUAGGUGAAUGCUGUGACUUUGAAGCUGAAAAUCUGCUCAUGUGUGAGAUAGCUAGAUCAGUGCACAGUAAAGAUUUGCCAGUCGCUCAUAACAUUGCCACUGGAGAAGACAACAUGGGUGAUGAUGAGGACAACAACCGAUAUUGUGACCUCCAAGAGAAAAUGGCAGACAUUGAUGUUGGUGUGGUUGAGUCAAACAUUGCCAGCUGGAGAUCGAUUCAAGAUCUUUCAGAGGCAGGAGGGGGUGAGGAUGAUGCAAAUAAUCUUCAAAAUCCAGAGAGCAAUCCGAUUAUACAUUGCAGUUCUGAUAAGGGUCUGGUGCCAUCGUGGAAUGAUCCAGAAAAAACUUGCACACCCUUAAUCCUGAGUGCUCCAUCAGACCUUACAUUGAAUAUGCUUUCAGAUGAUGGGAAAGAUGGGAAAGAUCAAACUCCAAAUACAGACUUCAACAUUCCAGAGGAUUUAUCUUCAGGCACAUUAAGGAAGGAAAGUGAUGAAAUAACUUCUGAACAGUCUCAGGAUCUGGAAUCUUGUCAAGAACCUGAUAAUGUCACGUUAACAGCAACCAUCUCCCUAGAACACACUGAUCUUUGUGAAUCUUCUACAAAAACAGUCAUUUCUAACCAAUCAGAUAAUCUUGGUCCAGUUUUAAAUCAGGGUCAUUCAAAUUCUCAACAGAUUACCUUUAGAAACACUGACUCUGUCUCGGAAAACAAGCUCAAAUUCAACUUGCAAGGAGGAUCAUUUGGCACCUUCACAUUCAGAAAGAAACCAACUGAUAUAAAGAUUGUGACCUCCUCAGAAUUAACAAUUCUCCAACAGAUUUCUGUCUCACAUAAAGAGACAAAUUCCUAUGAUGGGUCUUCAAAUGAGGUUGUGGGGGAGAAAGUAAUUCAGUUAAGAGCACACAUCAAAAAUGAAACCGUAACUGAUGAAGCUAAAACCACUGACAAACAACUUCUUGAACAAGAGACUACAACUGACGCUCAGGAUCAGGAGAUAGAUAAAUCAGACUCCCAUGAGAAGGGAAACAAGGGACUGAAAACAUGUCAAAAGAGAGAAGAACAAGAUUUUACAGAGAAUGUUUCAUUUCUGGAGCAGAACAAAAAUCUUGAUGAUGAUUCACAUAAAUCAGGUCUUUCUCAAGCUGACAGUGAUGAGGCAACACCAGAAACGGCACAGAUUGCUAAUUCAGGUCAUGGCACAAAACCAAAGGUAAUUGAUGCCCUUAAAACCAACAUUGCAGAUUUAGCCUCAAUGGACAAUGAAAAGAUCCAGUGCCAAGGAAAGGAAAUGGAGAAUACAGGUAAUCAAGCGCCAAGUUUUGAUAGAUUUUCAAUGAGAGAGGAAUUUGGUGAAACUCAGCAGAAAGAGGAUGUCUCUAUAACGGAGAACACUGAACUUGAUCAAACACCAGAACAAUCAAUUUUUCACCCCCCUGACCCAAGCUAUAUUGAUCCAAAAGAGUCUGUUCAUACCAAGUCAGUGGUUGUAUCUCAGACAACAGACCUUACAAGGCCAGAUGGGCUGAAAGAACUUCCAGACAGUUCUUUGAGCAGAGUAAGUUUGACAGAACGCACAAGAGACAUCAAUGACAAUCACAUAGGGGGCAGUUCAUCCCUCAGGGUGGACAGCUCAGAACAAGACAGGGUCUCUCCAACAUGUUCAUCCACAGUUGUCCAGGAGGAAGAUCUCUCUAACCCCGUUCAGGAGUCACAGCCCAUUCAUGACAUCUCCCAAACAUCUGCUGCCUUCUCACAUACAGCUCCAGACAACAAACCCAACCAACCUGACUAUCAAAGUCCCCUCCGGACUCCUGGAAUAAGCAGUUUGGAAUCAGCAGCAUGGGAAACAGAGGAACAAACACCAACUUUGGUUCGUAUUCAAGACACGUGCGAUCAUGAAAGUGAGAGAACAGUCAUGACAGCAAAACCAUGCAGACAUGAGAACCCUCCAGUAUGCAAGGGACACCGAACAGAACAGUCCCAGUCCACAACAUCCACUGGACAAACAGACAGUAACCAUGCCCAAAGAACACUGAAUCAGUCAGAUGAAAGAGAUAUGCUCCCCUGCUUCAGUCCAAGACCAGACUCCCUCAUAAAAACAAAGCAAGCUGAGCGACAGAGCAUAGAGCGAGACGUGUACCCAAUUAGCUACAGAUCAAAAGGCCCAGAGGACUUGGAUCUCCGCUUCAAAAACAAUAGUAUGUUCAUCAUCUGUUUUAGCCAUAAGGCAUCAGCAUCUUUCUCAAGUACCUUCUUUAU
rnacentral:lncRNA from 1 species